GAUGAAGAACGUAGCGAAAUGCGAUAAGUAAUGUGAAUUGCAGAAUUCAGUGAAUCAUCGAAUCUUUGAACGCACAUUGCGCCCGCCAGUAUUCUGGCGGGCAUGCCUGUUCGAGCGUCAUUACAACCCUCAGGCCCCCGGGCCUGGCGUUGGGGAUCGGCGAGGCGCCCCCCGCGGGCACGCGCCGUCCCCCAAAUACAGUGGCGGUCCCGCCGCAGCUUCCAUUGCGUAGUAGCUAACACCUCGCAACUGGAGAGCGGCGCGGCCAUGCCGUAAAACACCCAACUUCUGAAUGUUGACCUCGAAUCAGGUAGGAAUACCCGCUGAACUUAAGCAUAUCAAUAAGCCGAGGA
rnacentral:misc_RNA from 1 species